rnacentral:rRNA from 1 species
CCUACGGGGGGCAGCAGUGGGGAAUAUUGCACAAUGGGUGAAACCCUGAUGCAGCAACGCCGCGUGAGCGAUGAAGGCCUUGGGGUCGUAAAGCUCUGUCCUAAGGGAAGAAUACUGACUGUACCUUAGGAGGAAGCCCCGGCUAACUACGUGCCAGCAGCCUCGGUAAUACGGAGGGGGCUAGCGUUAUCCGGAAUUACUGGGCGUAAAGGGUGCGUAGGCGGCCCGUCAAGUCAGAGGUGAAAGGCUACGGCUCAACCGUAGUAAGCCUUUGAAACUGUAGGGCUUGAGUGCAGGCGAGGAGAGUGGAAUUCCCAGUGUAGCGGUGAAAUGCGUAGUUACUGGGAGGAACUCCAGUUGCGAAGGCGGGUUUCUGGACUGUAACUGACGCUGAGGAACGAAAGCGUGGGGAGCGAACAGGAUUAGAGACCCCACUAGUC